rnacentral:rRNA from 1 species
GAUGAACGCUAGCUAUAGGCUUAACACAUGCAAGUCGAGGGGAAACGGCAUUAUGUGCUUGCACAUUUUGGACGUCGACCGGCGCACGGGUGAGUAUCGCGUAUCCAACCUGCCCUUUACUUGGGGAUACCCCGUUGAAAGACGGCCUAAUACCCGAUGUAAUUCAUUGAUGGCAUCAGAUAUGAAUAAAAGAUUUAUCGGUAAAGGAUGGGGAUGCGUCUGAUUAGCUUGUUGGUGAGGUAACGGCUCACCAAGGCGACGAUCAGUAGGGGUUCUGAGAGGAAGGUCCCCCACAUUGGAACUGAGACACGGUCCAAACUCCUACGGGAGGCAGCAGUGAGGAAUAGUGGUCAAUGGGCGCAAGCCUGAACCAGCCAAGUAGCGUGCAGGAAGACGGCCCUAUGGGUGGUAAACUGCUUUUAUACGAGAAUAAUUUGAUGCACGUGUGCGUUAUUGCAUGUAUCGUAUGAAUAAGGACCGGCUAAUUCCGUG